UUCUGGUUGAUCCCGCCGGACCUGACUGCUAUCGGAUUGAUACUAAGCCAUGCGAGUCUUUGUAGUAAUACAAGGCAGACGGCUCAGUAACACGUAGUCAACCUACCCUAUGGACGAGAAUAAUCUCGGGAAACUGAGCAUAAUUCUUGAUAGAUCAUAAUGCCUGGAAUGGUUUAUGGUUAAAAUGAUUCGUCGCCAUAGGAUGGGACUGCGGCCUAUCAGCUUGUUGGUGAGGUAAUGGCCCACCAAGGCGAUUACAGGUACGGGCUCUGAGAGGAGAAGCCCGGAGAUGGGUACUGAGACACGGACCCAGGCCCUAUGGGGCGCAGCAGGCGAGAAAACUUUGCAAUGUGCGAAAGCACGACAAGGUUAAUCCGAGUGAUUUCUGCUAAAGAAAUCUUUUGCCAGUCGUAAAACCGCUGGUGAAUAAGGGGUGGGCAAGUUCUGGUGCCAGCAGCCGCGGUAAU
rnacentral:rRNA from 1 species